ACUUCUGUUUCUGAACCAGAGUGGGUUCUCAGAGUCUUGGCUUUCUUUCUGCAGCCUGUCUGCCUCCUAAGCAGCUGAGAUUGUUUCCCCACUACAGAUGAGUGAUAAGCUGACUGCACCCUCACGGAUAAUUCUAUCAACUCCUGGGACCAUCGCAUAGAGGGUGCUUGAGACAUGCUGCACUGGACGAUGCACACACCCCAUCUCUCCAACAUGACUAGGCCACCAGGAUGCAUCACAGUCCUGACCCCAAUGCAGGAGACUGAAAGUCACCAAGGACUGAGACAUGCUGUCGAGCCACAAUCAGAAGAGAAACUGGAGUUGAAGAAGAGCCAGGUCUGGCCACACAGAGAAGUGAAAACCUCCAUUUAAUGGUCAGAGGCAAAGUACAAAGUUAGGCAUCAGAGAAGUGUUCCGUUUUGGUCACUAUUAUUUCUUAAGAAUCUUUCUGAACACUCCAGAACUAAAGGACUAGAAGUCCAGGGCCCUUGCUCUCAGUGUCUGAUUAGCUGCUGUCAUCUGCCUCGAAAGCUGCCCCAUGGUUUUUUCCAUCCUUGCUAGCAGCACAAACCAACUGGUUUAGCCUAACAUUGAUAAAACUACAGAAUCUCAGAUUUGGAAGGAUGCUUUUAAAGCAAAUAGCCAAGCUCCUAGCUAAUUUUCUAAUUUUGUUGCUACAAGAAUAAAGAAUUUAAUGUGGGUGUGGAGGGAGAGUUAUUUGAGUCCAUUUUUCUUCUGGUCUUUCCCCUUUUCCAAGUAUAUAGGCAAUCCUGCACUCAUUGCCUCAGGGAGGGGAGGCAAUUAGUCAGAAGAUAUAAAUAGCCAAUUGGCACUUUUUGUCUCUGUGUUUUAAAAGAGGGAACUUAGAAUUUUGGGGAUGAUGUCAAGAUCAAAUGUGUGGGAGAAACAGAGGUCAAAGAGCAUUGACUUCCUCCACCCACCACCUAGAAUAGGAUUCUCUGAGGUCUGAGGCAUGGAGAGUGAAGAGCAGAUAAUGAUGAGAACAGACAGAAUGAGGGGUUCAAGAGCCAGGUUCCCUUCUUUCUGGGCAGUAGGUAGCAAUACCCCAAAGCAGGAGGUAGCAAUACCCCAAAGAGGAGAUGGCUUCGUGCAGGGUCUAGGCACACCAGUUCAUUGCCUCUUAAAGAUUUCUGGUGUGAACCUGGGAGGCGAAGCUUGCAGUGAGCCGAGAUCGCGACGCUGCACUCCUGCCUGGGCGACAGAGCAAGACUCCGGCUCAAAAACAAACAAACAAACAAACAAACAAAAACCAAACAAGAUUUCUGGCCCUCAAGCUAUGCAGCAAAAUAUCUCUGUGAGCCUCCAGUUCUAAAAGGCCAUGCUGCAAGCCAAAUACUCUCUCAGGGUAACUCAAUGGGAACAGAUGGCUCAGGGACCAGAAGGCUCACCCUCCCUCAAUGUACUGCUAAAGGCACUAAGUAAAUCCCAACAGGGUCUUUGUCUCAACCCCCGGGAAGAAGAGAGAAACCAAUAAUAAUCGGAGAGUGUUACCCUUAGCCUGCUAGUACAAAGAUAAAACAUCAAAUUGAGUUAGAGGAAAUGUUAUUUUUCUAGAUCAAUGCAGUCUAUGGACUGAGAUUCAUAGAUCUACUAUA
rnacentral:lncRNA from 1 species